GUGUGUAAUGGCAUGGCUCUUGGUAGAAAUAUGCAAAGGGUGUGUUAUUAGCUACCUGAUACAGGUGUGUGUGUUUGUAUGAGACAGAUGUGCCUCUUAUCUGAUGCAGGUAUGUGUGUGCAUGUAUGAGGCAGAUGUGCCUCUUACCUGAUACAGGUAUGUGUGUGUGUGUGUAUGUAUGAGACAGAUGUGCCGCUACCUGAUGCAGGUGUGUGUGUGUGUGUAUGUAUGAGACAGAUGUGCCUCUUACCUGAUACAGGUGUGUGUGUGUGUGUGUAUGUAUGAGACAGAUGUGCCGCUACCUGAUGCAGGUGUGUGUGUGUGUGUGUGUGUGUGUGUGUGUGUAUGUGACAGAUGUGCCGCUACCUGAUACAGGUGUGUGUGUGUGUAUGAGACAGAUGUGCCGCUACCUGAUGCAGGUGCACCUCCUGUUGUAGCAGCUCGACUCGCAACCUCAGCCUCUCCACCUCCUGGAGCUCUGCCUGGCUGGUGUAGGUCAGGGUGGGGGGCAAGGGGGUCACCCCACUCAGGUCACCCCACUCACCCUUACUCCUGACGGGGCAGAACGCGCCCGCUCCUUCCCCCUUCAGCCUCCUCCAUCGAUCCCAUGCCUCCCACUCUGGUCGGAAAAAUUGAUUAUUUUUAGAGUGAGAGGAGCGCGAGCAACCGAAUCCGAAAACGCUUGCACCUCCUGUGUGCUUGCUGCUCCCUCAGCUUUAAAUAGCAGGGACAAGCCAAGCAUUGCGCGGACUGAUGGCUUUAAAACCUCAGUCACAUUCACACAGGGGGACCUGAGAAGGAGCCUCACCGUCACAUUCACACAGGGGGACCUGAGAAGGAGCCUCACCGUCACACAAUCUCAAAAGGAGACCAAGGAAAUCAGAAUAAAUCCGGUGUAACUGACGGUUUCUAUUUUCAUUAUCCAUAAGUUAAGACAGUGAGGGGUUCAUUUAGCUCGUUAGUGUGUGUCCGCGUGAAGAUUGACUCUCAGGGAGCACAUUUCUCCAUUGGAGGAUGGUGACCUGAGAAUUAAUCUGCUCAUCAUACUGUUGUCAGUUGACUCAAGACAAUGCUGCAACAAAAGUCACUGUACCAUUCUAUUGUUGGACAUUUACACUGAAUUGAAUUGUCCCAAAAUAAAAUGCUGCAUCAUAAUCUGACUACCAGAAUAUAGAUUAGAGAUCAAUUCUAAGAAUGAUACAGUUCCUUCAGAAUGAAUACCAGAAUAUAGAUUAGAGAUCAAUUAUAAGAAUGAUACAGUUCCUUCAGAAUGAAUACCAGAAUAUAGAUCAGAGAUCAAUUAUAAGAAUGAUACAGUUCCUUCAGAAUGAAUACCAGAAUAUAGAUCAGAGAUCAAUUAUAAGAAUGAUACAGUUCCUUCAGAAUGAAUACCAGAAUAUAGAUUAGAGAUCAAUUAUAAGAAUGAUACAGUUCCUUCAGAAUGAAUACCAGAAUAUAGAUUAGAGAUCAAUUAUAAGAAUGAUACAGUUCCUUCAGAAUGAAUACCAGAAUAUAGAUCAGAGAUCAAUUAUAAUAAUGAUACAGUUCCUUCAGAAUGAAUACCAGAAUGUAGAUUAGAGAUAAGAUAGGAACUGUAUAAUUGUUCUCGAAAGUAUUCACACCCCUCGACUUCUUCCACAUUUUGUUGUGUUACAGCCUCCAUUUAAAAUGGAUGACAUUUAGAUUUGUCACUGGCCUAUAUACACAAUACCCCAUAAUGUAAAAAUUGAAAAAUGUUUACAAAUGAAAAAAAUAAAUAAUCUGAAAUGUCUUUUGAGUCAAUAAAUAUUCAAGCCCUUUGUUAUGACAAGCCUAAAUAUGUUCUGGAGUAAACAUUUGCUUAACAAGUCACAUGAUACGUUGCAUUAGUACUCUCUCAUCUGUGUUUGUGUGACUGAGUUGGGCCUCUGGGGCUUAACGCAAUUGAUUUAAAAUGCCUUGGUGAUAAAACCUACAGCCUGCAUUCCAUUGAAUGAACAGUGUCUGUGAAAUGCCUGUCUGCCAGGGCCAGGUGAACCCUCCCUCCAGUUUCUCUCCCACACGCAGAUGAACACUGCACUUCAGACAUUGUGAGGAGUACCCAGUGUUCCAUGUUGCAUUAGUAUCUGUGUGUUAAGGAGUAUGAAACUGGGAAAAUAACUCUGUAUAAACAAGCAGUAAAUUACCUAGAGACAGAAACCUGGCGCAAUGUACAUUUGUGUCUGUUACUUGAUUACACAAUGUAUCUUUGUAUAAUUUCUACACAUCUGUUUGUCAGAUGUGUAGAGGAGGAG
ensembl:lncRNA